UACGUAGGCAGCAAGCGUUGUUCGGAGUUACUGGGCGUAAAGAGUGCGUAGGCGGUGCUCUAAGUUUGGUGUGAAAUCUCCCGGCUCAACUGGGAGGGUGCGCCGAAUACUGAAUGACUUGGAGUGCGGGAGAGGUGAGUGGAAUUCCUGGUGUAGCGGUGAAAUGCGUAGAUAUCAGGAGGAACACCGGUGGUGUAGACGGCUCACUGGACCGUAACUGACGCUGAGACACGAAAGCGUGGGUAGCAAACAGG
rnacentral:rRNA from 1 species